AGCAGCAUGGCUCAGUGGCAAGAGCCCGGGCUGGGGAGUCAGAGGUCAUGGGUUCGAAUCCCAGCUCUGCUA
rnacentral:tRNA from 1 species